UUGGCAGACUAUCUCCAAAGGCAUCAAUUUCUAGUGCUAAUUACCACUAAUUAUUCACUCAGCAAUUGUAAGUUGCAUUCAGUCCCUGAGGGUGGAAGGGAGAUUUGUCUCUCUCCAGCGUAGCAUGUUUCGUAUAUUUGUUUUAAGAGAUUUUUACAUUCAGACAUCAAAAUAGCAUAGAGAUCUGCAGAACUUUCCUGUCUGUUGCCAGGAAGGGAUUGAGAUUUCCUUGCGCACUAUAAAGAGUCUGUAUGGUUGCUCAGCACCCGGCACCUGGCAGGAAGGGUUUUAUCUCUCACGUUUCUCUGCCGUGUGGAAGGGAUUGGGCCCCACACGUUGUUUCAGUGUCUAAGUGGAUUUAAUUUAGCAGGUUUCUGAUUGCUCAGGCUUGAAGGUCUAGUGUCCAACCUGGCUGUUAAACAGCUAUGCGUAACUGACUCGGAGCUUAUUGUUCAUGACCACAGUUACUAGAAAGGCCAUCACAUCCUGGAUCUUCAGUGCUUAGAUUUGGCCUCAGACCAGACCCCCCACAUCCCUUGAAACUUACUCCUUCAAGCCCUAUGAGCAGCUAACAGACUUGGAUGCUGGUACUGUUCUGCAGCAGCUAGAGAUCUUUCAACUGUUUUUCCCCAAGAUUCGUUGCUUAGUCCUAUAACUACUGAAGAGCCCAGCUGCAGGGACUGCUCUGACACCUCUGCAUCACCGAGUAACUAUGUCACCUCUCCUAGCACCCUCUAUGCUGCGGUUUACACAUCACAAUGGGAAGUGACGGGGACUGACGAGCUAGGCCCAGUCUGUUUUAAAAGUGUUGAGAAUCAUUCUUCCUGCUUUGUUGUAAGAAAUAUUGAGUAAUAUCAGCUCCUACUGAGAAGCCUUCAUCCGAUGGAGAGGUAUAGCUGAAGAGGCCAAGUGAUGCUGCAGUGAAUCAGUGUAAACAGGCAAUAUGUAAUGUUGCACAAGGACUCUGUUCUUCGGUAACUGAGGAAACAGCAAAGCUGUAAUUUAAACACAAAUUCAGUUCCAUGUAGAUCAUCAAAUUUUAAUUAAAUAUAAUUUUAUUAAAUAUUCUAUAUCAUAAAUACAUAUA
rnacentral:lncRNA from 1 species